CUUACAUGAUAUCCAGAGUAUGAGCAGUAGAAUGGGCAAGCAACAGAACUGAGUGAAUCACUGUAUGAUCCUCUAUACCGAUCAGCGAAAUCAAAUACCUGCAAUUUGAGUAAUCAGCAUCAGAAUCCUUGAACACAAUGGAAGCAGCAGCCAAUGCUGCAGCAGUCUCAGCAGCAACAUCAGAGCCAGGAUUUUGAGCUGUUACCCUGUAUACGUUGCGAGAUGUGUCCAUGUCUUCUGGCCUCUCCCAGCACCUGUGAUCCAUAUUUGGGUCUGCCACCUGAUGGCCGCCUUGAUAAGAUAAUCAGUGCUCCAUUUGAUGGCUGCUUUGGCAUGCUGUAGUUGCCCAUGCAUUAAAUCUCCAAACUCUAUCACACUCCAUGCCAGCAUUGUCGUUGUGAAAUGCCAUCGGCAAGCCAAACUUCACAUUAUCUCCAGCAUCAUAGUACCCUCCUGCUAAAUCCACCUGAAAGGCACAAAGGAAGCCUAUGUUAGCUCAACGACACAAUUUGAGAAGAAAUCAUCACCGAAAAUGGCAUUUUAGGGCCCGAGCACUAUAGCAACACUAUAGCAGCCUGAAACACGAAGAACUUGAAGAAAUCAUAAGUCUUUAAUAUUUUUAGCGAGCCGGCCCGCCCAACUCGUAACUCAAAGCGGAUCGGGUUGGGUUGAUAUUUUGUCGGCCCGCCCUGCUAAGUGGUGAAUUUUGGUAGGCUGCAAGUCAGCCCACCCCAUAAGUCCAAAUUGACGGUUCUA